AGAAUUCCAUGAACUCCAGACAGCAGAAUUCUAUGAAUAGUGCAAGCAGUCCCUAUGGUGGAAACUCUGUGCAGAUCCCGUCCCCUGGUUCGUCUAGCACAAUACCCCAAACACAAGCAAAUCCUUCUCCAUUUCAAUCGCCAACACCUUCCUCAUCUAAUAAUCCUCCUCAAGCUCUGCAUGGUGCCUUAGCAGCUUCAAGUCACAUGAGUUCUGCAAAUUCUCCAGCAAUGAACAUGCCUAUACAGCAGCCAGCUCUUUCCAGUGAGGCGGAUCCCAAUGAAUCCCAAAGCUCUGCUCAGAAAAUCAUUCAUGAAAUAAUGUCUAGCCAACUUAAUAACACUGGCGGCAUGGUUGGUGCUGGCACUCUAGGCAAUGAUGUGAAGAGCAUAAAUGGAAUGCUGCCACCGAGUAACAACACAGUUCUCAACGGUGGCAACACUUUGGUCGGUAAUGGAACCAUCAGCAAUAAUUCAGUUAUUGGUGGUGUGGGGUUUGGUUCAACGAGUGGUGGACUAGGGCAGUCUGCUAUGGUGAAUGGAAUCAGAGCCACAAUGGGAAAUAACCCUGUCAUGAAUGGAAGGAUGGGAAUGGCACAGAUGGCUCGGGAUCAGCUAAUGAAUCACCAACAACAGGAUAUGGGGAACCAGCUACUGAAUGGACUUGGAGCACUUAAUGGUUUUAAUAAUUAUCAAUUUGAUUGGAAACCUUCCCCAUGAAAGAAAGUGCAAAAAGCUGAUGGUUCUUUGAUUACAGCUGUGCUGUUGUGUGCAGCAUGGGAAUCGGCUGACUUGCCUGUGGCCCUGCCAGAUUCGUGGUACAAACACUAUAAUGAUAGAUCAAGGUCUUCCCCUCCCACUGUGUACUAAUUUCAGGAAAAAAGUGAAAAACAACAUAUAGCAUAGUGUUUUUAUCAAUGAAAUGUUAAAAGCAACUUUGAAGUUGCUCCAAUUUCCUAUUAUUUUCUGUUCCCUAAUUA
rnacentral:lncRNA from 1 species